rnacentral:piRNA from 1 species
UCACUGAAUUCAGUUCACACUGGCUUGG